UACGUAGGGUGCGAGCGUUAAUCGGAAUUACUGGGCGUAAAGCGUGCGCAGGCGGUUGGUUAAGUCUGAUGUGAAAGCCCCGGGCUCAACCUGGGAAUGGCAUUGGAAACUGGCCAGCUGGAGUGUGGCAGAGGGGGGUGGAAUUCCGCGUGUAGCAGUGAAAUGACGUAGAGAUGCGGAGGAACACCGAUGGCGAAGGCAGCCCCCUGGGCCAACACUGACGCUCAGGCACGAAAGCGUGGGGAGCAAACAGG
rnacentral:rRNA from 1 species